GACGAACGCUGGCGGCGUGCCUAAUACAUGCAAGUCGAGCGAAGUUUUUCUGGUGCUUGCACCGGAAAAACUUAGCGGCGAACGGGUGAGUAACACGUAAAGAACCUGCCUCAUAGACUGGGACAACUAUUGGAAACGAUAGCUAAUACCGGAUAACAGCAUUAACUGCAUGGUUGAUGUUUAAAAGUUGGUUUUGCUAACACUAUGAGAUGGCUUUGCGGUGCAUUAGCCAGUUGGUGGGGUAAAGGCCUACCAAGGCGACGAUGCAUAGCCGACCUGAGAGGGUGAUCGGCCACACUGGGACUGAGACACGGCCCAGACUCCUACGGGAGGCAGCAGUAGGGAAUCUUCCGCAAUGGGCGAAAGCCUGACGGAGCAACGCCGCGUGAGUGAAGAAGGAUUUCGGUUCGUAAAGCUCUGUUGUUAGGGAAGAAUGAUUGUGUAGUAACUAUACACAGUAGAGACGGUACCUAACCAGAAAGCCACGGCUAACUACGUG
rnacentral:rRNA from 1 species